rnacentral:rRNA from 1 species
UACGUAGGGGGCAAGCGUUGUCCGGAUUCAUUGGGCGUAAAGAGCGUGUAGGCGGCCAGGUAGGUCGGUUGUGAAAACUGGAGGCUCAACCUUCAGAGGUCGACCGAAACCAUCUGGCUAGAGUCCGGGAGAGGAGAGUGGAAUUCCUGGUGUAGCGGUGAAAUGCGCAGAUAUCAGGAAGAACACCCGUGGCGAAAGCGGCUCUCUAGAACGGUACUGACGCCGAGACGCGAAAGCGUGGGGAGCGAAACAGGG